rnacentral:misc_RNA from 1 species
GAAAUGCGAUAAGUAAUGUGAAUUGCAGAAUUCAGUGAAUCAUCGAAUCUUUGAACGCAUAUUGCGCCCCCUGGUAUUCCGGGGGGCAUGCCUGUUCGAGCGUCAUUUCACCACUCAAGCCUCGCUUGGUAUUGGGCGACGCGGUCCGCCGCGCGCCUCAAAUCGACCGGCUGGGUCUUUCGUCCCCUCAGCGUUGUGGAAACUAUUCGCUAAAGGGUGCCGCGGGAGGCCACGCCGUAAAACAACCCCAUUUUCUAAGGUUGACCUCGGAUCAGGUAGGGAUACCCGCUGAACUUAAGC